rnacentral:rRNA from 1 species
UACAGAGGGUGCAAGCGUUAAUCGGAAUUACUGGGCGUAAAGCGCGCGUAGGCCGUCGAGUAAGUCGGAUGUGACAUCCGCGGGCUUAACCUGGGAAUUGCAUUCGAUACUGCUUGACUAGAGUGUGGAAGAGGGCAGCGGAAUUUCCGGUGUAGCGGUGAAAUGCGUAGAUAUCGGAAGGAACACGAGUGGCGAGGGCGGCUUCCUGGUCCAACACUGACGCUGAGGGGCGAAAGCGUGGGGAGCGAACAGG